rnacentral:lncRNA from 1 species
AUGGUGAGGACCCCCUGCGUCGUCCACACGCUACAGCUGGUGGUUGGCAUGAUAAAAAAAGAAACAAGUGUUAAUAAACUUCUAGAUAAGGUCCGUUCACUGGUGAAGCUCUUCCGAAAAUCUUCCGUAGCAACUGAGAGGCUAUUGAAGGAGUGCAAAUUAACUCUGGUGAAGGACUGCCCCACUAGGUGGUCGAGCACCUACAUUAUGAUCAACCGGCUUCUUCAAGUAAAGGACUCGGUUGUGAAAGUUGCGGAUGGCAUGACGUGGGACUAUCUCCUACCAAGUGAAUGGCAAAAGCUGACCGCUGUGAAAGAAUUGCUCUCCCCCUUUGCUGAGCAUACACAGAUGCUGCAAAGCGACACACAGAGUCUGUCCCUUGUCAUUCCUGCCCUUCUUGACCUACAAGCUCACCUGUCUGACAUACUUGAUGAGCAGGGUCAUACUUUCAAGGACCUAGGGUCCUUGGCAGUAAAGAUGAGGGCCAACAUAGAGCUGCGAUUCGGCUGCUUUCUUGACAGCACGCACUCCAAAUUCUCACCCCUUGCUGCUGCUGCUUGCUUCCUCGAUCCAACAGAAUCACUCCUCACGAAUGAUGAUUUACAAAUUCAGGACAUUCUGAGAAAAGCGCAAGAGUACAUUGUUCAGUUGGUUCCACCAGUAGUUCGUGAGGAGGAGGAGGAGGCUGAGGAAUCGGAGAAGGGAGAAGGAGCAGCAGCCGAACCACUGAAAAAGCGGUCAAGAUUUAAAUAUUUUUCCAAAACACACCGACCAUCCAAGUCUAGCCGGCCAAAACCGUGCGUCAGGCAUGAAAUGGAGAAGUAUAAGCAGGAACUGUCCCACUUAACUGAAGAAGAGUGCUCAAGUGCCCUUGAGUUUUGGAUUGCACAGCCGGAUCAUGCAUAUCCUCUCCUGAAACCCAUUGCCUUAGAUAUUAUAGCCAUGCCUGCCUCUCAAGCAUUUGCCGAGAGAGUGUUCAGUGUUACAGGUGACCUCAGUCGUGGUCGUCGCAACAGAGCCAGAGUCAUUUUAGAGAGAAGUGCUUUCCUCAAAUUGAACCGGUAG